UGGGGAAUAUUGCACAAUGGGCGAAAGCCUGAUGCAGCGACGCCGCGUGAGGGAUGACGGCCUUCGGGUUGUAAACCUCUUUCAGCAGGGAAGAAGCGAAAGUGACGGUACCUGCAGAAGAAGCGCCGGCUAACUACGUGCCAGCAGCCGCGGUAAUACGUANGGCGCAAGCGUUGUCCGGAAUUAUUGGGCGUAAAGAGCUCGUAGGCGGUUAGUCGCGUCUGCUGUGAAAACUCGAGGCUCAACCUCGGGCUUGCAGUGGGUACGGGCUGACUAGAGUGCGGUAGGGGUGACUGGAAUUCCUGGUGUAGCGGUGGAAUGCGCAGAUAUCAGGAGGAACACCGAUGGCGAAGGCAGUACUGGGCCGCAACUGACGCUGAGGAGCGAAAGCAUGAGGAGCGAACAGGAUUAGAUACCCUGGUAGUCCAUGCCGUAAACGUUGGGCACUAGGUGUGGGGUCCAUUCCACGGAUUCCGUGCCGCAGCAAACGCAUUAAGUGCCCCGCCUGGGGAGUACGGCCGCAAGGCUAAAACUUGAAAGGAAUUGACGGGGUCAUAGCUAG
rnacentral:rRNA from 1 species